CAGAGGGGGACAACAGUUGGAAACGACCGCUAAUACCGCAUAACAUAUAGAUGUCGCAUGGCAUUUAUAUCAAAGAUUUAUCGCUGAAAGAUGGCCUCGCGUCUGAUUAGCUAGUUGGUGAGGUAACGGCCCACCAAGGCGACGAUCAGUAGCCGGACUGAGAGGUUGAACGGCCACAUUGGGACUGAGAUACGGCCCAGACUCCUACGGGAGGCAGCAGUGGGGGAUAUUGCACAAUGGGGGAAACCCUGAUGCAGCGACGCCGCGUGAGGGAAGACGGUCCUCUGGAUUGUAAACCUCUGUCUUCGGGGACGAAACGAGACGGUACCCGAGGAGGAAGCCACGGCUAACUACGUGCCAGCAGCCGCGGUAAUACGUAGGUGGCAAGCGUUGUCCGGAAUU
rnacentral:rRNA from 1 species